rnacentral:lncRNA from 1 species
CCCCAUAAUGUCUCCACCAAAUUCAAGCUCACUUAAUCCAGAAGCAACGAGUUCACCGUGCACAAUGAGAGAAGUGAGAGCAAAGGAGCUUCCUUUACCUCCUUGCGAUUGUCGGAGAGUAGAAAAGAUAGUUAUAAAAGUCAAAAAAAUGACGACACAACUAGUAUUCGCCCCCAUGAUAGAUGAAUCAGUACAUUGAGGUACUAAAACCAGCAUCCAGCUUGUCGUCACAUUGAUCCACAUAAUCAAAAGUAAUUGAUAAUUGCUGCCGGCUUACAAUGCCUCUACUUCUUUCAUCUCUUGAAUAUAUACUUAGCCUUCUUCUCCCAUCAUGAACUCACCCUCCAAGAGCCAAAACCAUAUCCAGCAUAUUAUGCAAAAAGCAUGGUGACUCUGACAAACAAUAAAAGCAUAUGAGAGCCUCCAAGAAAACAUAUGCAAAACAGUAUAUAUAAGAACUCUACAAGACUAAAAGAUUAGCAUGAUUUACCUUGUAUAAAUAACGACUACAAAGUGAAGUUCCUUGCAAAAGACAAGCUCUUGAAAAGUCAAAUAAAGAUGAUACAAAAAUUAUGGUUUAAUAAAGUCUAUUUACUUACCACAAAAUCAGAGUUUCCACAAAAUGAAGUCUAUUUUCCAGUGAUAAUGUCUUUGGUAAGACAAUCCAGAU